rnacentral:lncRNA from 1 species
UUUUAUGGAAUAUUUUUUAGUAAGUUUGUAUGUAAAUUGAUUUUAAUUUAUGAAGUAUAAUACGCACACUUUUUUAUUUUGAAUCUUUUUUCUAUAAGUGAAAUUUUCUAUCGAAAAUAAUCUCUCUGUCUCACCUCGACGCAUAGGUACGACGAUGUAUGCUCUACCCUCUUCAGACUCUACUUUGGUGAAAUAUAUAUUGGAUAUGUCGUCGUUAUUAUUAUUGAAGUGAAGUUUUUGUUCAAAAUUGAGAGGUUGUAUAUGAGGUCCAUUUGCCUACACAGGAUAAGGUGAAAUAUUUAAAGCUUGAGUUAAUUUUUUUUAUAAGUGAAGAG